AUACCUUUAUUGGCCUUUUGGCUAAGAUCAAGUGUAGUAUCUGUUCUUAUCAGUUUAAUAUCUGAUAUAUGGACCAUUGGUCCACCCGAUAUUAAAUUUAUUUUUUUAAUGGAGAGAUCAAUUGCAGUAGCUUGUUACUAGCAUCGCUUUUGUUUUGCACUGUUGCAAAGACUCGUUGCAUCCCUU